GGAAUCUUCGGCAAUGGACGAAAGUCUGACUGAGCAACGCCGCGUGAGUGAAGAAGGUUUUCGGAUCGUAAAACUCUGUUGGUAGAGAAGAACGUUGGUGAGAGUGGAAAGCUCAUCAAGUGACGGUAACUACCCAGAAAGGGACGGCUAACUACGUGCCAG
rnacentral:rRNA from 1 species